GUGCUUGUUUCGGCAGCACACAUACUAAAAUUGGAACGAUACAGAGAUUCUCACGGUCCCUGCACAAAUAUGACAUGCAAAUUCAUGAUCCUUUUAGAAAUUGG
ensembl:snRNA U6 U6 spliceosomal RNA